CCACGCAGUCCACCCUCAGCAUCCUGGCACUGACAGAGACAUGGAUACGUCCUGAGGAUACAGCAACACCUGCUGCUCUCUCUAACAACUUCUCCUUCUCCCACACCCCUCGACAUACUGGUAGGGGUGGGGGAACAGGUCAGCUGACAAGCUUUCUUGAGGAAUUGGAUGUCCUGCUGUCCUCCUUGCCAGAGGAUGGCAGGCCACUUGUGGUUCUUGGUGAUUUCAACAUACACCAGGACAAACCCCAGGCCAUUGAACUGAAUACUCUUCUGGCCUCAUUUGACUUGGAAAGACUACACACCACAGCAACUCACAGGUCGGGCAACCAGCUGGACCUCAUUUUUACACACCAGCACGGACUACACCACCCAGCCCCUGGCUGUCUGACGUCCUUCGUGAACAUCGGACUGAUCUCAGGGCAGCUGAGAGGAGAUGGCGGAAAUCUAAAGAUCCAGCUGAUCUAGGUAAAUAUCAGCUUCUGCUCGCAACUUUUUCAAAUAACGUUAAAACUGCAAAAACUUCAUAUUACCAGACCAAGAUCAACAGCACCACAGACACUCGUAGCUUGUUUAGAACAUUUAACACACUUCUCUGCCCUCCCCCUCCACCACCUGACACAUCACUGACAGCAGAUAUAUUCGCCACAUUUUUUACUGAUAAGGUUACAGCCAUCAGCAAUACAUUCACAGCACCACACCCUGUCAAACACCUGGCUCCUGUAUGCAACCCUUCUUUCCCUAUGUUCUCUCCUUUAACUGACACUGAGGUCUCUAAACUCCUCCUCUCCAACCACCCCACAACCUGUUCCCUUGACCCCAUUCCAUCACACCUUCUCCAGGCCAUCUCUCCGUCCAUCCUACCGGCACUUACACACAUAAUUAACACAUCCCUUCUUGCAGGCACUUUUCCCACUACAUUUAAGCAGGCUCGAG